UUUCCGUAGGUGAACCUGCGGAAGGAUCAUUACAGAGCACAUGAACGAAAGGGUAUAUCUCAAACUUUAGAGCAUUAGCACUUUGGUCCUUUGGCGAGCGCCAGGCCGCCAGAGAAUAUCAAAAUCCUUUUUAUUAAUGUCGUAUGAGUAUUAGUUAAUAGUUAAAACUGUCAACAAUGGAUACAAUGGUUCUGGCAUCGACGAAGAACGUAGCAGAUCGAAAAAGCCGAAGUAUGAACCCUCGUCACGCCAAGUCCAACCGGAUAUCUCGUUUCCCGU
rnacentral:misc_RNA from 1 species